GGGUAAUCUUCCUCCGAAUCUGGGAUAACUUUCCGAAAGGAAAGCUAAUACCGGAUAGUUCUAUUGGAUCACAGGAUUUGAUAAAUAAAGGUUUACUGUUCGGAGAUGAGCCCGCGGCCGAUUAGCUAGUUGGUGAGGUAAUGGCUCACCAAGGCGACGAUCGGUAGCCGGCCUGAAAGGGUGUCCGGCCACAAUGGAACUGAGACACGGUCCAUACUCCUACGGGAGGCAGCAGGUUAAGGU
rnacentral:rRNA from 1 species